rnacentral:sRNA from 1 species
UCUUUAACGGUGGUUUCUGGUAGAAACGUGAAGGAUAACGUUGCGAUAGCAACGGCCCGUAGGGCGAGGCAAAGCCGAGUCAUCCUGCACGACCCACCA